AGCUGUAUUUACCCACAUUUGGCAAUAGUGGAGAACUAAAGCAAAGGGAAGUUUCGGCUCUCCGAGAUAUUUCUUUCAUGGCCGAGCCUAAAGCUUUCACAAGUCGUGGAAAGUGAACAUUUAAAAGAAGAAUUGUAACAUAAGCCAUCCUUUCAAAAAGUCAAGUCUGAGCUGAGUGAAAUGUGCCAUGUAGUCAGUGAGAAGGAUGCUGCAUGUUCUUAGUAGGUAGGAGAAGGAGGGUGAGGCCUCCUUCUCAGGGUGCUCAAGAUGGAGUAGAGGAUGGGCAAUGUUAAUGGCAGAGUCAGCACCUGAGCUCCAUGCUGCUCUCUGUUUUCAUCUAGAACCCUCGGUCACACAUCCCUAUGAAUCUUCACUGUCAACUCGACCAGAUCUGGAACUAUCCAGGACCCACCCUGCUGGCUAUGUCUGUGUUUAACUGAGCACCAGCACUCAUUCCCCUCCUCCUCCUGACUGCAGAUGCCGUGAUACCAGUGGCCUCACAACCCUGCCGCCAUGAUCUCCUUGCUACCGUGGACCCUUCUCUCUUGAACGAGGAGCCAGACUUAAACCUUUCCUCCCACAAGUCCUUGUCCGGUGUUCAGUCACCAUGUUGAGAACAGCAACGCUAUGAUCCCAGAGGAAGAGACGAAUUCAGUGGAAUCGUGUCCUUUGCAUGGACUCUGGAGGAACUGUAGAAAAUUAUUCUACAAUUUGAAUCCAUCAUUUGUUCUUGCAUUGGUAUUAGGACUUUCUUGGCUGAGUGUAUACACCCUACUUGAUUUGGCAUGUCUCUCAAGAGCUCGAUCCUGGCCCUGCUGUUAAUAACUCAUCUUCUUCAUUUAGAAUUAGGAGUUUUCCAAAGGCUCAUAUAUUAAAGUCUUAUUAUCCGAGACAGCACUGCCAGGAUCUGGGGAAAUCUUUAGGAAAUGGGACUUCAAAGAGGUCUUUAGGUUGUUGGAAGCAGGGUACAGCAAGAAGCUCCUGGUUCUUCCUGUUCCUGCCUUUCCUUUCCUAGUGAUGAGGUAGUGGGUUUAACAUCACUAUACCCUCUGGCAGUCAUGCCUCAAGGGCGAUAAAGCCAGCACACCACUGACCUCCAGGACUAUCAAUCAACAUAAACCUUUUCUCUUUACAAGUUAAUUAUCUUAGGUAGUUUGUUGAAGUAACUGAAAGACAACAUAUUCUUCUUGCAUCUAAUUUCACAUAUAUACUCUUAGGGCAGGACAGAGCGGCUAGCUGUCCUCUCACUAGCCAAACAAAGUUAGUCCUUUUCUCCAUAGAACAUAACAUAUUUCAGAGCUUCCUGUGAUCUCCUUGUAGAAGGAAAUGAACAUGUUAAUUAAGGAUGAUUUGACAAUGUGGUACAAUUACACAAUGGAGUGUCACUCAGCUGUGAAAGAAAAAUGACAUCAUGAAAUCUGCAGGCAAAUGGAUGGAACUAGAAAAAAAUUAACCUGAGUAGGGUAACCAAGACCCAGAAAGACAAACAUGGUUGUGACCUAGCUGAGGAAGUAAGCCCCAGACAAUCACAAGAGCCGACCCCUCAGCUAAUCCCAGGAUGAAGGCUACCGAAUUGUGCCCAGAUUAGACAAACAACAAACUGUACCUAUCAGUUGUGUGUCUGCUGAGGCCAGAAGAAUGUGCCAGAUACCCUGGAGCAAGAGUUUCAAGCAGUUGCGCGCUGCCUGACACGAGUCCCGGGAACGCAACUGUUGUCCUCUGGAAGAGCAACAAGUGCUCUUAACCAGUCAGCCAUUUCUCCAGCACUCCCGAUGAAUUUGUAGAGCAUCUCUGGUCUGCAUCUGCAGCUGGCCCUCCAUGCUCCGUGGUUUUCUUUUGACAUCUUCAGAGGUCUGUGCAUGAGCCCAAGGCCAGAGGAGAGUACACUGAAUAUAAUGAUGACCAGGAAAACAUUUCUGAAAUUGCUAUAGAUCUGCUGAGCCUGACUCAACAACUUAAAAACUUAACAUGUGCUCCUCCCCUGGUUUUUCCUUGGCAUUGAUCCCCAGCUUGAAUGACACUGUCGGGGAAAAAAAAAAAAAAAGUGUGAU